rnacentral:rRNA from 1 species
CUUGAUUUAGAUAAGCACCCUCUCCAGCCACAAGUUUCCGCCUCCACUCAACCUUUUGCUUGGCCCAGCGGCUCACACCUCACCAGCCCGGGCCCACCGCAGCACUGACCCGCGGGCCCCAGCCGCUCCUCUGGCCCGCCUGUCAUUGUGUCGCUUUGGUCGUUAAGUAGAGGAAUCCCCUCCUCAUCUUCUCUUCUCCCCGUCCACCACAAUUUUUAAGCAGCAGCCGCCUAGACGCUUCCUUCCGCGCAUCCACAAGAACAGCUCCCCUCCCCCCACCCAGGAGAAGACAGAAAAGGUUUGUGCGUUGCUGAUUUACUCAUCUCUUCUUCCUCUGUUGAUUUGUUCUCCGCUCAAUUGCUCUGUGCUCUGUGCUCUCCCCAUAAGAUUUCGUCCGUAAGGAUAGUUCCCCCUUUUUAACCUCUGCCGGUAGCUAGCUAGCUUUGUCCCUCAUAUGGAAUAGUUGCCAGGAACGGGGAACGAGGCAGCGUUCCUCGAACCGGGUUCGUCGAUCCGGAUCGAGGGUCGGUGUCAACGUGGGGAACGCCACGAGUCGAUAACAUUCAGCGAACCAAAGCAACGACAGUGGAUCUCGAUUCCAACUCGCCAUCGCCAGCAACAGAUGAGUAGCAUGUCGUGUUAUACCCUGGCAGAAGGUGGAAGCAUCUUCCCAUCUGGCGACGAACUCGGUGGGAAUCAAAAGACAGAGCAAGGAAAUUACUGGAUACAAUGGAAUUCAAGGCUAUCUGAUGAUUUGAACACAACAAGCCUAUACUCAGACGAGCAUGAGAAUGGCAUCGAGCAAUGUUUCGACGACGCCGAUGAACAUGAGAGGAGCAGCCAACAGGAGAGGUCGUCAGCAUGUGCCAGAGUUUCUUCAGGUUGCAGCACAGGGCCUUCAGAAGAACAAUCUGAGGGGCCAGCGCCGUUGGAACUACAGCACUCCAAGGAAACAAACGACAUCUUCUUGAGUCAAUUUUCGGAUGAUGAAAUGAGGAUGAUGGAUGCGCCGUUUCAGGCACUUGAUAUGUUCCCUGGCUCCAUGCACAGGCUGUUGUCCUAUGAGAACAUGCUGAGUGGAGUAUUGACUGAUUCUCAAAAUCAAGAAGCAAAUCCAGGUCAUAAUGAAAUGGACACCAUGGAUACUUGCGGCUUUCCUUUGUUCAGCCAUGACUUGCAAAAUGAUCCUAGCAGCGCUGAUGGCAGCUUACAAACACUGCUGAGUGCCUCCCAGGACAAGGCUGAGGUGAGCACCAUGAAGAGGAGCAGAUCAGUGCCCGAUAUAGAGAGCUCCUCCAACGGGGAAGUAGCAGUGCUUGAGGAACUUGAAGAUGUCAUGUUUCAGCUGACAAAGAAGACACGUGUAUGCCUCCGUGACGCUUUCUACAGGCUGGCUGAAAGCUCAGAAGCGCAGUGCACUGCUGUAAAUGGAGCAACACUAACGUGCUCAAACGAGCAAAGUUUUCAGCAAUCAGAGGGCACCGAAUCUAGCACCUCGACAUCAGACCGUGCAGAACGGGAGACGAACGCGAUAGACAGAACCGUGGCAAUCCUCGCGUUCAAGCCGGCUUGCUCAGCUGCAUGGGAAUGAAUGCUGCGCCGAUGAUCCAAAGUCAUCCAUGCCUGGCUGGAUCAUCAAAGGUGAAGGAGGAGGCUUAGCGUUUGGAAGUAAUUCCAUCCGCAGCCUCGCCAUUUUGCUUCAUGCAGAGAUGUAAAUGUACUACAUAGGUUGCUAGGACAUUUUGUUCUGAGCUUGCAAGUAGAGAGAGCCAGCAUGGUACAGGCUGAUCAUGUAUAAUGACUUGAUCUCUUUAUCAUUUUUUGCCGGCAAAAGAAUGAUGAUAUAUGUACUGUUAGUUAUACUUGGUAUCACUAUGCACAACAUUUUGGAUUCCAAAUGUUGAUGCUCGUUUCGGUUUGAAA